UACAGAGGUGGCAAGCGUUGUUCGGAAUCAUUGGGCGUAAAGGGCGCGUAGGUGGUUCUGUAUGUCUACCGUGAAAGCGUACGGCUCAACCGUAUUUUGUCGGUAGAAACUGCAGGACUUGAGGCUGGGAGGGGCUGGUGGAAUUCCCUGUGUAGCGGUGAAAUGCGUAGAGAUGGGGGAGAACACUCGUGGCGAAGGCGGCCAGCUAGACCAGUUCUGACACUGAGGCGCGACAGCGUGGGGAGCAAACAGG
rnacentral:rRNA from 1 species